GAUGAACGCUGGCGGCGUGCCUAAUACAUGUAAGUCGAACGAGGUGCCUUUGUAGCAAUACGAGGGUAUCCUAGUGGCGAACGGGUGAGUAACGCGUUGGUGACCUACCCCGAAGUGUGGGAUAACAGUCCGAAAGGACUGCUAAUACCGCAUGCGGUCGUCGGGGUUAGCAACCGAUGACCAAAGCAGGAAUGCGCGUUGGGAGGGACCUGCGUCCCAUCAUCUAGUUGGUAGGGUAACGGCCUACCAAGGCUACGACGGGUAGGGGACCUGAGAGGGUGACCCCCCACAAUGGAACUGAAAUACGGUCCAUACACCUACGGGUGGCAGCAGUAGGGAAUAUUGCACAAUGGGCGAAAGCCUGAUGCAGCAACGCCGCGUGCACGAUGAAGGUCUUCGGAUCGUAAAGUGCUUUUCUGGGAGAUGAGAAAGGACAGUAUCCCAGGAAUAAGUCUCGGCUAACUACGUGCCAGCCGCCGCAGUAA
rnacentral:rRNA from 1 species